AGAGUUUGAUCCUGGCUCAGGAUGAACGCUAGCGACAGGCUUAACACAUGCAAGUCGAGGGGCAGCGGUGGUGAAGGCUUGCCUUCACCAGCCGGCGACCGGCGCACGGGUGAGUAACACGUAUGCAACCUGCCUGCCACAGCCGGAUAAUCGGGAGAAAUCCCGUCUAAUACGGCAUAAUGCAUCGACGGGACAUCCUGUUGGUGCCAAAGGUUAAUUCCGGUGGCGGAUGGGCAUGCGUCGCAUUAGUUAGUUGGCGGUGUAACGGACCACCAAGACGACGAUGCGUAGGGGUUCUGAGAGGAAGGUCCCCCACACUGGUACUGAGACACGGACCAGACUCCUACGGGAGGCAGCAGUGAGGAAUAUUGGUCAAUGGGCGGGAGCCUGAACCAGCCAAGUCGCGUGAGGGAUGACGGCUCUAUGGGUUGUAAACCUCUUUUGCCGGGGAGCAAAGUGCCGCACGUGUGCGGUUUGGAGAGUACCCGGAGAAAAAGCAUCGGCUAACUCCGUGCCAGCAGCCGCGGUAAUACGGAGGAUGCGAGCGUUAUCCGGAUUUAUUGGGUUUAAAGGGUGCGUAGGCGGACGCUUAAGUCAGCGGUAAAAUUGCGGGGCUCAACCUCGUCGAGCCGUUGAAACUGGGUGCCUUGAGUGGGCGAGAAGUACGCGGAAUGCGUGGUGUAGCGGUGAAAUGCAUAGAUAUCACGCAGAACUCCGAUUGCGAAGGCAGCAUACCGGCGCCCGACUGACGCUGAGGCACGAAAGCGUGGGGAUCGAACAGGAUUAGAUACCCUGGUAGUCCACGCAGUAAACGAUGAAUAAUAGCUGUCCGGGUCGAGCGAGAUCUGGGUGGUAAAGCGAAAGCGUUAAGUAUUCCACCUGGGGAGUACCCCCGCAACGGUGAAACUCAAAAGGAAUUGACGGGGGGCCCGCACAAGCGGAGGAACAUGUGGUUUAAUUCGAUGAUACGCGAGGAACCUUACCCGGGCUCAAACGCAGACUGACACACGGUGAAAACCGUAUUUCCCACGGGACAGACUGCGAGGUGCUGCAUGGUUGUCGUCAGCUCGUGCCGUGGGGUGUCGGC
rnacentral:rRNA from 1 species